UUGCAAUGAUGACUAUCUUAGGACACCUUUGGAAUAACCGUGAAAACAACUAUUAUGUUCUGAGCAAC